AGGGUUUGAUCAUGGCUCAGAUUGAACGCUGGCGGCAUGCUUUACACAUGCAAGUCGAACGGCAGCACANANANCUUCGGUUUGGUGGCGAGUGGCGAACGGGUGAGUAAUGCAUCGGAACGUGUCCUAAAGUGGGGGAUAACGCAUCGAAAGAUGCGCUAAUACCGCAUAAUCUCUGAGGAGAAAAGUGGGGGAUCGAAAGACCUCAUGCGUUUGGAGCGGCCGAUGUCUGAUUAGCUAGUUGGUAGGGUAACGGCCUACCAAGGCGACGAUCAGUAGUUGGUCUGAGAGGAUGGCCAGCCACACUGGGACUGAGAC
rnacentral:rRNA from 1 species